rnacentral:tRNA from 1 species
UAUAUUUAAGUAUUUAAUGUACAUUAAUUUUUGAUAUUAAAAGUACUAGUUUAAUUCUAGUAAAUAUAA